GGCGAACGCUGGCGGCGUGCUUAACACAUGCAAGUCGAACGGAAAGGCCCUGCUUUUGUGGGGUGCUCGAGUGGCGAACGGGUGAGUAACACGUGAGUAACCUGCCCUUGACUUUGGGAUAACUUCAGGAAACUGGGGCUAAUACCGGAUAGGAGCUCCUGCUGCAUGGUGGGGGUUGGAAAGUUUCGGCGGUUGGGGAUGGACUCGCGGCUUAUCAGCUUGUUGGUGGGGUAGUGGCUUACCAAGGCUUUGACGGGUAGCCGGCCUGAGAGGGUGACCGGCCACAUUGGGACUGCGAUACGGCCCGGACUCCUACGGGAGGCAGCAGUGGCGAAUAUUGCACAAUGGGCGGAAGCCUGAUGCAGCAACGCCGCGUGCGGGAUGACGGCCUUCGGGUUGUAAACCGCUUUCGCCUGUGACGAAGCGUGAGUGACGGUAAUGGGUAAAGAAGCACCGGCUAACUACGUG
rnacentral:rRNA from 1 species